UAACCAUUGGAAACGAUGGCUAAUACCGCAUACGUCCUCAGGGAGAAAGGCUUCGGCCACCCUUGGAUGGUCCCGCGUCUGAUUAGCUUGUUGGUGAGGUAACGGCUCACCAAGGCGACGAUCAGUAGCUGGUCUGAGAGGAUGAUCAGCCACACUGGGACUGAGACACGGCCCAGACUCCUACGGGAGGCAGCAGUGGGGAAUAUUGGACAAUGGGCGAAAGCCUGAUCCAGCAAUGCCGCGUGAGUGAAGAAGGCCUUAGGGUUGUAAAACUCUUUCGCCGGUGAAGAUGAUGACUGUAGCCGGUAAAGAAGCCCCGGCUAACUCCGUGCCAGCAGCCGCGGUAAUACGGAGGGGGCUAGCGUUGUUCGGAUUUACUGGGCGUAAAGCGCGCGUAGGCGGUAUAUCAAGUUAGGCGUGAAAGCCCCGGGCUCAACCCGGGAACUGCGCUUAUUACUGAUAAACUAGAGUCCGGGAGAGGGUAG
rnacentral:rRNA from 1 species